CCUACGGGUGGCAGCAGUGAGGAAUAUUGGUCAAUGGACGAGAGUCUGAACCAGCCAAGUAGCGUGAAGGAUGACUGCCCUAUGGGUUGUAAACUUCUUUUAUAAAGGAAUAAAACGAGGCACGUGUGCCUUUUUGCAUGUACUUUAUGAAUAAGGAUCGGCUAACUCCGUGCCAGCAGCCGCGGUAAUAAGGAGGAUCCGAGCGUUAUCCGGAUUUAUUGGGUUUAAAGGGAGCGUAGAUGGGUUGUUAAGUCAGUUGUGAAAGUUUGCGGCUCAACCGUAAAAUUGCAAUUGAUACUGGCAGUCGUGAGUACAGUUGAGGUAGGCGGAAUUCGUGGUGUAGCGGUGAAAUGCUUAGAUAUCACGAAGAACCCCGAUUGCGAAGGCAGCUUACUAAACUGUGACUGACAUUGAUGCUCGAAAGUGUGGGUAUCAAACAGGAUUAGAUACCCUUGUAGUC
rnacentral:rRNA from 1 species